UACGUAGGGGGGCAAGCGUUGUCCGGAAUCAUUGGGCGUAAAGCGCGUGUAGGCGGUUCGGUAAGUCGGCUGUGAAAGUCCAGGGCUCAACCCUGGGAUGCCGGUCGAUACUGCCGGACUAGAGUUCGGAAGAGGCGAGUGGAAUUCCCGGUGUAGCGGUGAAAUGCGCAGAUAUCGGGAGGAACACCGGUGGCGAAGGCGGCGACCUGGGUCGAGACUGACGCUGAGACGCGAAAGCGUGGGGAGCGAACAGG
rnacentral:rRNA from 1 species